rnacentral:rRNA from 1 species
UACGGAGGGUGCGAGCGUUGUCCGGAAUCACUGGGCGUAAAGGGCGCGUAGGCGGCCGAGCAAGGUCGCGGUGAAAGCCCGGGGCUCAACCCCGGGUCGGCCGUGGCAACUACUCGGCUCGAGCACUGUAGGGGCGGGUGGAAUUCCGGGUGUAGCGGUGGAAUGCGUAGAGAUCCGGAAGAACACCAGUGGCGAAGGCGGCCCGCUGGGCAGUGGCUGACGCUGAGGCGCGACAGCGUGGGGGAGCAAACAGG